AUUGAACGCUGGCGGCAGGCUUAACACAUGCAAGUCGAGCGGGGAAAGGUAGCUUGCUACCUGACCUAGCGGCGGACGGGUGAGUAAUGCUUAGGAAUCUGCCUAUUAGUGGGGGACAACAUUCCGAAAGGAAUGCUAAUACCGCAAACGCCCUACGGGGGAAAGCAGGGGAUCUUCGGACCCUGCGCUAAUAGAUGAGCCUAAGUCAGAUUAGCUAGUUGGUGGGGUAAAGGCCUACCAAGGCGACGAUCUGUAGCGGGUCUGAGAGGAUGAUCCGCCACACUGGGACUGAGACACGGCCCAGACUCCUACGGGAGGCAGCAGUGGGGAAUAUUGGACAAUGGGCGAAAGCCUGAUCCAGCCAUGCCGCGUGUGUGAAGAAGGCCUUUUGGUUGUAAAGCACUUUAAGCGAGGAGGAGGCUACUUGGAUUAAUACUCUAGGAUAGUGGACGUUACUCGCAGAAUAAGCACCGGCUAACUCUGUGCCAGCAGCCGCGGUAAGAC
rnacentral:rRNA from 1 species